rnacentral:rRNA from 1 species
GACGAACGCUGGCGGCGUGCUUAACACAUGCAAGUCGAACGGAAAGGCCCUGCCUUUGUGCGGUGCUCGAGUGGCGAACGGGUGAGUAACACGUGAGUAACCUGCCCUUGACUUUGGGAUAACUUCAGGAAACUGGGGCUAAUACCGGCAAGGAGCUCCUGCUGCAGGGUGGGGGUUGGAAAGUUUCGGCGGUUGGGGAUGGACUCGCGGCUUAUCAGCUUGUUGGUGGGGUAGUGGCUUACCAAGGCCUUGACGGGUAGCCGGCCUGCGCGGGUGACCGGCCACAUUGGGACUGAGAUACGGCCCAGACUCCUACGGGAGGCAGCAGUGGGGAAUAUUGCACAAUGGGCGGAAGCCUGAUGCAGCAACGCCGCGUGCGGGAUGACGGCCUUCGGGUUGUAAACCGCUUUCGCCUGUGACGAAGCGUGAGUGACGGUAAUGGGUAAAGAAGCACCGGCUAACUACGUG